UGGUGCUCGCGUGACCCGUGAUAUUAAGUCCUUUUUAUCGUUUUCCGACAAAUUACGCAGUGCCAGCGAACCACAGUGCCAGGGAAGAAAGAAGAGGUGCCAGAGAUUACACAGUGUCAAUCCCAGCCCUGGAAAAGCUUACAUCAUGCGUAAAAUUGGGUGAGAAGUGGAGGGGAGGGAAAGUGCCACCCCGGGGAAAUUUCAACCUUGUAUUUGUACAUUUUUUAGGCGAAUAACGUGUUCCCGGAAUGUUGUGGUGCCAUAGAAAGAAAGAAGUGGUGCCAGUGGUUAUACUGUGCCAUUUCUAACCCCCUGGAAGGCUGAAAUAAGAUUGAAAUAAGAGAAAAGAUGAGGGAAAACUGAAAAUGGCGGGGUGUCAUGUCUGACACCCCUCUUCAGCACCAUAUAUAUUUUUUUUCAUUUUUAAAGUAAAUUGCGUUUCCUCAAAGUGCCGCAGUGCCAUGCAAAGAAAGAGGAGGUGGCAUAGAUCAUACAGUGCCAAUCUUAACGCGUGGGAAUGCUAAAAUAAGGUUGAAAAAAGAGAAAAGCGGAGGGUGGAGGGCAAGACAGCGGGGAAGUCGUGUGUUGAAAAGGAAAAUUAACGAAAAAAAAAUAGAAAAUGAUAGCAAGGAAAAGACAAGGGGAAGAGCGUGUGGAAAUGCUUAGAAAAUAAUGAAGUAAGAUUCGUGUGAAAAUUAGUGAGAAAUAGCCUAGAAAAUAAUAGUAAGGUAAAGUCAUGUGAAAAUUAGUUAGAAAAUGCUUAGAAAUAAUAGAAAGGAAAAAUAAGGUCAAAAAUAUAAAGUUACACUCAAAUAAUGAGAAAAUGCUUGGAUAUUAAUAAUAAGGAAACAUUAGUUAAAAAUAAUGUAAAAGUAAGUAAGAAAAUGCCUAGAAAAUUAGAAAAAAAUAAAAUAAGGUAAAAUAAUGUGAAAGUAUGUUAGGAAAUCCUUAGAAAAUUAUAAUAAAUUAAGGCAAAAUGAUGUGAAAAUUUGUUCGAAAAUGCUUAGAAAAUUAUAAUAAGGAAAAAUGAGGUAAAAUAAUAUGCAAAUAAGUUAGAAAUAUCUUAGAAAAUAAUAAUUAUAACUGAUAAUAAUAAUAAUAAUGAUGAAAAUAAUAAUAAUAAUAGAUAAUGGUGAUAGUGAAAGUGUCUGUGUGCGUGUGUGUGCGUGCGGUUAUAUCAAGUUAAUAUUUGUCACGAAUUUAAUUAUAUAGGUAUAUGUUGCAAGAACAGGAAGAAGAAGAAAAAGAAGAACUACAUCUACAUCAUGGGUUAGCGCCUCGCAUCUCACCCGGCCGGCCACCCAGCACAGGCUGCUUGCUGCCACACGCCGUUCGGCCCGCAAACCCGUCAUUUCUUCGCCCGGCUCUCACCUCAGCGCAUCGAAGAGGUCAUGUCCCGUCUCUUAACUCUUUAAAAGGCAAGGGCAGCAGCGGAGGGCAAGGUCAAGGACUUCUGCCAAAACAUUGACCCCAGUGUGCAGGAAACUGUGAUAAUGAACAACGUCUUGCCCUGUGUUAAGCUCUGAAGAACGAAGGGAGAACAGAAGAAAGGAAGGAAGGCCAUCUUGGAAGACUCAAGAACCAGUCACCCCAGUCCAAGGAAAGGUCACAAGAGGUCACAGUACGAAGGAGCAGUCCAGUCCGUUGUAAAGUUAUUGGAAAAGGAAGGAAAGGAUAGGGAAGGAAAUGAAAGGAAAGGAUAGGAAAGGGAAGGGAAGGGAAGGAACAGAGAAGUGUAUAUAUAGUUAAGCUUAAAGUCACAUACAGUUAGAUACAUACAGUUACACUCACAUAGAUUUACAUACAGUUUUGAUGGUGCGUUUGACGAAGGCGGUUGACUCAGUGGGUAGCGGAUUGGCCCGGCCCACGGUGUUAUGGAGGCUCUCAACACAAGUACAGUAAACCCUCGAUAUAACGGACUAAUUUAUUUAUUUAUUUAUUUAUUUUUUCCACAUCAGAGGACACAUCUCAAGGGCAAUAAAGAGUCCCCAAAAAGCCCGCUACUCGCCCCUCCUAUAAAAGAUAAGAGUAAAGAGUAGCCAAAAGAGAGGUCAAUUUCGGGUGGAGAGGUGUCUUGAUACACACUCGGUUUGGGGGGAACUUAGUCCGUUAGGGCCGAAAGUCCGUUAUAAGCAGCGAAAAUUUAAAAAAAACGUAAAAUAAUAAAACGACGAAGCUAGUAAACGUAGGUAUAUAUAUAUUUUUUUAUGUAUGUUGUGUGCAUGAUGUCUGUAUAGCCGCACAGCACUUGGCGACGCACUCCGAGGCACUGAGGUUGCUAGGUUGUGAGUGGGGUCUUGCGUGGGGGUCAUAUUGUUACGGGUAUGGGUAUGAUUUUACAAGUGCAGCGAGUAGUGGGCUUUUUUAUUAUUGUUUACUUUUUUUUG